rnacentral:rRNA from 1 species
GACGAACGCUGGCGGCGUGCCUAAUACAUGCAAGUAGAACGCUGAAGGAGGAGCUUGCUUCUCUGGAUGAGUUGCGAACGGGUGAGUAACGCGUAGGGAACCUGCCUGGUAGCGGGGGAUAACUAUUGGAAACGAUAGCUAAUACCGCAUAAGAGUAGAUGUUGCAUGACAUUUACUAAAAAGGUGCAAUUGUAUCACUACCAGUUGGUCCUGCGUUGUAUUAGCUAGUUGGUGGGGUAACGGCUCACCAAGGCGACGAUACAUAGCCGACCUGGGAGGGGGGUCGGCCCCCCCGGGACUGGGACACGGCCCCGACUCCUACGGGAGGCAGCAGUAGGGAAUCUUCGGCAAUGGACGGAAGUCUGACCGGGCAACGCCGCGUGAGUGAAGAAGGUUUUCGGAUCGUAAAGCUCUGUUGUAAGAGAAGAACGAGUGUGAGAGUGGAAAGUGCACACUGUGACGGUAUCUUACCAGAAAGGGACGGCUAACUACGUG